GCCGAUUUAGCUCAGAUGGCAGAGCAGCUGAUUCGUAAUCAGCAGGUCACCAGUUCAAUUCCGGUAAUCGGCACCA
rnacentral:tRNA from 31 species